rnacentral:lncRNA from 1 species
AAAAGGGGCAGGAGGGCCGAGAGUCCUGCUAAUGAAUCAGGAGGAGAGAGAGAGAGAGAGAGAGAGAGAGAGGGAGAGAGAGAGGGAGAGGAAGAGAGAGAGAGAGAGAGAGAGAGAGGGAGAGGAACAGAGAGAGAGAGAGAGAGAGAGAGAGGUGAAUCAGGUGAAGGCCGACCGUGUGUCCUGCUAAAGACCCGUUUGACAUGGACUCAUCUGGACUCUGUAAUUCUUCUCCAUGUCAGGGUUUCAUGAGUCGAUCACAGACCAGGUGAAGGUCGGAUCAGGAUGCUGCUGUGAGCCAGGAGGACGGUGGUCAGGGUCUGAUUGAAGACCGGAACCUCUGAUCAGCCGUUUAUCUUGGUCCAGUUCAGAGAGGAUCGAUAUGAGUCUGUCAUCAGCUGCUGUUCCUGCAGUAAAUCAGAGAAACCUCCUCACCACCAAGUCCUCUGAGAAGAUGAUCAUCUGAGACGGUGAAGGAGAAGUUCUGACCCUGAAUGAAUGAAUGAAUAUUAUUAUCACAUGAAUCUGGAUGAGUCUUUAUUUUGGACUCUGAACUUCAGGAACAUGAAGCUCGUUCACUCUUCACAGAGAUGGUCAGGGUUCACCCUCUCUCUCUCUCUCUAAAUGAAAACAUUCAUCCGUUCAUCAUCAUCUAUGACUGAAUGAGUCCUCAGACCUCUGGUUUGUGUGCAGUGAAGACUAAAUCCAGUCCAGAGCAGAUCGCUCUUUAACGUUCCUGUCAGCUGAUGUUAACUACCGCCGUCAUGGGAGGCAUCUGCUGUGUGUGAUCGUGUCCACUCAGCUCUUCAGGGGAUCAAUAAACGUCUAAUUAAUAAUCAAUGACCAUCUGCAGAGUAACUGAAACCUGCUUCAGCUUUAGACGACUUAUCUUUAUGUGACGCUAACUCUACAUUCAACUUAUCUAUACAAAGAUACAUGUGUAUCUAUGUUUGUGUGUACCUAUCUAUGUUUGUGUGUAUCUAUGUAUGUGUGUGUAUCUAUGUUUUUAUCUAUCUAUAUGAAUAUAGAUAUUUAAAAUAAAAAUCAUGUUUAAUUGUUUGACUAACCGCAGUUUUGACUCUAUAGAAAAAUCAUUUAUUCUAACAGAGAAACAAACUGGAGGGAAAAAACCUGCUCAGUUUAAUGACCGGGUCGGUCCAAAGGUCGGGUUCUGGAUCAGGUUUCUGUGAGUCUGUAUCAGCCGUACUCUCGUUUGUUCUGUAUAAAAAGGAGAUCUGUUUCUGACUGUUCCAAACUGACUGUUUCUAACUGACUGUUUCUAACUGACUGACUGUUUCUAACUGACUGACUGUUUCUAACUGACUGUUUCUAACUGACUGACUGUUUCUGACCGACUGUUUCUGACUGACUGUUUCUGACCGACUGUUUCUGACCGACUGUUUCUGACUGACUGUUUCUGACCGACUGUUUCUGACCGACUGUUUCUGACUGACUGUUUCUGACUGACUGUCUCUAACUGACUGUUUCUGACUGUUUCUGACCGACUGUUUCUGACUGACUGUUUCUGACUGUUUCUGACCGACUGUUUCUGACUGACCGUUUCUGACUGACCGUGUCUGACUGACUGUUUCUAACUGACUGUCUCUAACUGACUGUUUCUGACCGACUGUUUCUGACUGUUUCUGACCGACUGUUUCUGACUGACCGUUUCUGACCGACUGUUUCUGACUGUUUCUGACUGACUGUUUCUGACUGACUGUUUCUGACCGACUGUUUCUGACUGUUUCUGACUGUCUCUGACUGACUGUUUCUGACUGUUUCUGACUGACUGUUUCUGACUGUCUCUGACUGACUGUUUCUGACCGACUGUUUCUGACUGUCUCUGACUGACUUCUCUGACCGACUCUGACUGACUGUCUCUGACUGACUGUUUCUGACUGACUGUUUCUGACUGUUUCUGACUGACUGUUUCUGCUCUGACUGUUUCUGACUGUUUCUGACUGUCUCUGACUGACUGUUUCCUGACUGUUUCUGACUGUUUCUGACUGACUGUUUCUGCUCUGAUUGACCUGAAGUAACCUUGGAUAAAUGUGUUUUUAUGAGCACUAAACUCUCCGAUGACGAUGAUCCCUGUUUCUUCUUCUUCUCUGAUUUUAAUUCAUGUUGUUUUUUAACUUUAAUCUUUUUUCUAAAUAAAGGAUAAAAAAAAAACCCAGCUGGGCCCUUAAAGCAGAGCCGCCCCGGUCUGCAGUUCUGGUCUGCGGUUCUGGUCUGAUGAGCCAUAAAAUUGUUUCAGGAGGAUCUUGCCAAAGUGAUUAAUCAGGUAAUUUGGAGGAUCCAGUUUUUCUUCUCUCUCCUCACUCUGCUCCACUGACGACCGUCCACUUCCUGAUUCAUGAGUUUUUCUUACAGCUGAUUUAUGUUCGGACUCAGACCUCAGCUGAGUCUUAAAAACACACCUUUAUUUGGCCCGUGGUUCGGCCUGGUCUCAUGUCCCCUGAAUGAGGACGCCUCGGUCCUUGGACCUCUCGAUGAGUCCAAAGGUGGACGGUCCGAUGCUGACCACCAUCAUGAGGGGGAUCAUCCUGUCUGCACAGGUUCACCGUGAAGCCUGACUGUUCCAGAGAAAAAGUAGAUUUAUGUUUCUGAUGGAAAAAAAGACACAAGGAGAAGUUUGUGAAACUGCGAUCAGCGAUUAUUGAUAUUUGAUUGAUUUCAGAUGAGUAUAACGGGCCCUGGAGAUCAAAGACCAGACGUUGUUCCCUUAAAGACCUCAUUUCUUUAUCGAAGUAAUAAUCAUAACAUUAAUCAUUUUACAGACGCGGUAGUUCUUCUGUCUUAGCGUCUCGGUCUGAUUGUAUUUCCAUGAAGAAAUGAUCAUAAAUGUUCUUCCUUGAGCUGCGGCACCCCGCUGUAGUCUGUAAUGGACUGGCCUGAGGUCUCUCUACAAACAAGCGUCUGCUGGAAGAGAGUAGGUGAGUUGUGUUUAGUCUCUUUGUUAAAGAAAUGAGUCAAAGUUAAAAAGAUGUUUGGUGUCUAGUACUAUGUCUGUGACCCUCUAUGUCCUGUUGAUGAAGUUAGGUGCUGUUCUGAGCAUUAUUUGUGGCUAUAGAGUGGCGUUUUGGUUGGGGGCGUGUCUCUCUGUAUUUCUAUCCUGCGGUCGUUACUAAAGUUGGUAUAACUAGAGAAGCAAGCGGUCGACAACAUUCACAUCUGGAGGGGGCGGGGUCUAACACGGUGUUAUGGUGGGUUUGACCCUACAUUAAUUUACAGCAGAAUGUCCCUUUAAAUAAAUCCUGUUUCACUGAGAAUAAUCUCCUCUUUAAUGACACAUUUAUAUAUAAUGAUGUUAGAUUAUACGUAUUUAUAUUUAAUCUCAUUAAUGUGUGGGUGAAUGUCAGGAUCUGAAGUGGAUGCUGUCAGGGACUAAGGGGAGCCCCUCUGCUAAGUGGUUCUGGUCUCUGGUCCCUCCUCCUUCACUAAUGGACCUCUGGCUGCAGGCCCGGAUCGAUCACGGGGCCGUAGCCCCACAGAAUCUCCUGAUUUCAGCAGAUCAGGACCGUCCUCCGGGUCAGACCGAGGCUGACGUGGGCUGACGCUCCAUCAGGUCGGAUAGACGAGGAGCUGCUGGAUCCUGCAGGUGGAGGCGGUGCAAACACUGAAUCACAGAGAUAAACCACGGCCCCCCAUCUCAGACUGACGCAGGAUCCAGGAGACCUGCUGAUGGAUCACAGACAGACGGACCAGGACACGGGCCAAGACAAAAACUGUUUGCUCAGGGGUUUGAGGGAGACGCCGCCGCCGUGGUCACGCAGAAGGAAACAUGCUGAUGUGGUUUCUUCAUUUGAGAGUUCAGUGGAGCGUCUGGGUCCGACUAAUGUCUUUGAAAUGAGAGAAGAUGGAUGGAGCUGAAGACGGGCUGACAGCGCUUCACUUCAGAUCAUAUAUCACACACAGAACCAGUGGGACCAGUUCAUCUGAGACCAGCAGCUGGUUCAGGUUCUUGACUGACUGUCCGACGUUCAGAACAUGAGCGUCCUGAAGGUUCUUACCCUGGAGAUCUAGAAAAACAGGAUUCGACUUUUAGACUCCGUCACAAAAAUACAGGAAGUCUACUGUUUUAAUAACAUCUAUGAGCCGCUGUGGUCCGUCCACGUGGUCACAUGACCUGUUUGUUUAGAGUUUAUUUUCCCUGUUGUCCAAUCUCGUGAGUUUUCAGUUUGACCCUGUUUCACUCCUGUUGUUUUAUUUUGUAGGAGUUGAUUCCUUGUUUAUUUCCUGUUUUAUUUUGUAGGAGUUGUUAAUCUCUCAUUAGUCUCACCUGUAUCUCGUUUACCUGUUUGUGUUUUUAGUCCCUCUGUUCUCAUUGGCUCGUUGUGUGUGUGUGUGUUUGUGUGUUUGUGCGUGUGUUUGUGUGUGUGUGUUUGUGUGUGUUUGUGUGUGUGUUGUUGUGUGUGUUUGUGUGUGUUUGUGUGUGUGUGUGUGUUUGUGUGUAUGUUUUUGUUGUGUGUGUUGUGUGUGUGUUUGUGUUGUGUAGUGUUUUUGUUGUGUUGUGUGUGUGCUGUGUGUGUGUGUGUUGUGUUGUGUUGAUGGAUUACAAGAUGGCUACAUCUAUGAAAGUGGUUUUAGCGUUUGCGUUAUAUGCAGACAAGGCAAGCGCUAAAAUAACGUGCGUAGAUGUCGCCAUCUUGUUUCCACCACCGAUUUCGCUUUUUUCCGACUUGGGAACUGAAACUCGGGGAACUGGAGGGUGACGUCAUUUUCAGCUCCGACAUCUGAGUUCUGAGGAAACUCGAGCGCAGCACAUGUCUGCAGGCCUUGUCCCACUAAACAGACCCCCAAUGUCAAUGUGAAGGUCAA